GGACCCAUAGCUCAGCGGUAGAGCAUCUGAUUCCAGCCAACAACUGCCUCCAGAAGGUCAUCCGUUCAAAUCGGGUUGGGUUCA